UACAUGGGGUGCAAACGUUGCUCGGAAUUAUUGGGGCGUAAAGCGCGCGUAGGCGGUUACUUAAGUCGGAUGUGAAAGCCCUCGGCUUAACUGAGGAAGUGCAUCCGAAACUGAGUAGCUAGAGUACGAAAGAGGGUCGCGGAAUUCCCGGUGUAGAGGUGAAAUUCGUAGAUAUCGGGAAGAACACCCGUGGCGAAGGCGGCCCUCUGGAACGCAACUGACGCUGAGACGCGAAAGCGUGGGGAGCAAACAGG
rnacentral:rRNA from 1 species